GCACUGCCGAGGAGUCCCACAAUAGGACGAAACGGCCGUCCAGUGC
rfam:Schistosoma curassoni strain Dakar, Senegal genome assembly, scaffold: SCTD_scaffold0016315